rnacentral:misc_RNA from 1 species
CGGACCUGGCACCAAGUGAUUACCAUCUGUUCCUGUCCAUGGCGAACAAUUUUGCUGGUGAAAAAUUCGCUUUAAGAGAGGCUUGUUCAAAUCGACUGUCUCAAUUUUUUGCCAAUAGUCACGACGGCUUUUAUGAGAGAGGCAUGAUGAAAUUACCUUCAAAAUGGCAACAAGUUAUCGAACAAAACGGCGCAUAUUUGACCUAAAUCGGAUCAUUCUAACUAUGGUAAUUAAAGCCUUCAAUUUCAUGCAAAAAUAAUGGAUUUCUUUUUACUACACCUGAUAUUUGAUAAUACAAUACCUGAUAAUACAAUAUCUGAUAAUUCUAUAAUAGAAGGAAGUCCCAGUCCUAAUCCUAGUAUUGUAAACAGUUGUAUGACAUAUAAUACCAGUACCGUAGAAUGUAAAAAUUAUUUUAUUCAAAAUUGUCGGAAACCUAUGCUGAAACAAUCCAAAAUUUUAUUUAUUGAUAUUCAACAUGCAUUGAAUCCAUCUUUGAAACUUGAUAGUAUUUCACAGCAAAACCGUGUCCUGAAAAGAAAAGUUGACAGUUUACGUAAAUUAGUUACAUAUUGGCAGAAAAAGUUAUCAUCUUUUAAGAACAAAUUGUCUUCUCGUUUUGGGGAGGAUCAGCUUAAUGCUCUAUGUUUGAGUUCGAGUCGCGGCAGUAAAUGGACAAAUAAGACAUUACAAAUCGCUUUACAGUUGCAUUUUGCAUCUGGCACCACUGGAUAUCAAUUACAGUCACAGCUACAAAUGCCUUUGCCGUCUGUUCGUCUUCUUCAAUCUGAACUUCAACAUGUACAGUUCUCGCCUGGAACCAAGUCAUAUAUAGGUUGGUGUACUAUACCAGGAGCAAAACCAAAAAUAACUUCACAGUUAAAGCUUCAAUAUCCUGAUCCUGAUACAAGAGAGAAAUGGCGGACUGAGGUAUCCCUAUCAAUGCUAAAGGAAAAGGCAAGUAAAAUCAUGGUGUGGAUCUUAGGAGGACUAGCUGUCCGGUGGAAACAACCAGUAGCCUAUGAUUUCACUGGAAAUUCUUUUUUUUCUGAAGCAGUCAAAAAUCGCUGUCUAGAAAUUGUACGUGAGUCGUACAAAGUGGGAAUAACAGUUCGUGUUCUGACUUGCGACAUGGGUAAUCGUAAUGUAUGAAAAGCCCUGGGAAUAGAAGUGGGUCCGCAGAUACUGAAUAACAGCUUCUGCCAUCCAUGUGUUGAAGGUAUCGCAGACCAACACCUACACCACUUCAAAUAACGCAACGGCUAAGACAAACUACUAUUUCAAUGCUUUUGAGGGAAGUACCUGGAAGUAGUUAUGACUUUGAGACAGAGGGAGAAAUACUUAUUAAUAUCUUUGAAGAGUUAAAAUUUGCUGCUUUGGAUACUGCUUUGAAUAACAAUGGAGAUUGGCCAAGAGACUUCAUAAUUCUACCUUUCACAGUACCACAAAAAGAAAAUAAAGUGCUGUACAGAGUAGCAGGCUAUGUGGUUCAUCAAGUUUUUACAGUUACAAAGUUAGACUUAAUUUGUUCUACAUGUUCUUCAGCUGUACUUCAUAAGGGUCCUCAGGCUCAUCCAGAAAGUGAAUUUACUCGCCAAACAAACUAUGCAAAUUGUUCUCAAGUAGAAAUUUCCGAUGAAAUUUUCACUCUGAUCGUGAAAGCAGAAUGUUGUAGAGGUGUUGAGCACAUCAUCACAUCUGUUCGUAAAAAUGCAGACAUAUUUUUGACAAAUAUAAUGAAGGAGUUUCCAAA